rnacentral:snoRNA from 1 species
UUCAAUGAUGAAAACCUUUUCACAGACCUGUACCAAUGCUUUGCAUUUGCGGAUACACACUAUUUAUUGCCAUUUUCCUGAUU